CUUUCAUGAUGAAUGGUUUUUUUUUCAGUUCUGCUUCUGAACUAAAAUGUCGAUAAUAAACCUCUUACCAAAAAUUUAUCUGAUCU
rnacentral:snoRNA from 1 species